rnacentral:rRNA from 1 species
CCUACGGGUGGCAGCAGUGGGGAAUAUUGCACAAUGGGGGAAACCCUGAUGCAGCAACGCCGCGUGAGUGAGGAAGUAUUUCGGUAUGUAAAGCUCUAUCAGCAGGGAAUAGAAAAGCAGGUACCUGAAAAAGACGCCCCGGCUAACUACGUGCCAGCAGCCGCGGUAAUACGUAGGGGGCAAGCGUUAUCCGGAUUUACUGGGUGUAAAGGGGGCGCAGACGGCAGCGCAAGCCAGGAGUGAAAGCCCGGGGCCCAACCCCGGGACUGCUCUUGGAACUGCGCGGCUGGAGUGCAGGAGGGGCAGGCGGAAUUCCUGGUGUAGCGGUGAAAUGCGUAGAUAUCAGGAGGAACACCGGUGGCGAAGGCGGCCUGCUGGACUGCGACUGACGUUGAGGCCCGAAAGCGUGGGGAGCAAACAGGAUUAGAUACCCUUGUAGUC